rnacentral:rRNA from 2 species
CGGCGAGUGAAGCGGCAAAAGCUCAAAUUUGAAAUCCGCAAGGAGUUGUAAAUUGAAGACGCAUGCUUGGUGUGCGCUGGUUUAAGUGCCUUGGAACAGGCCGCCAUGGAGGGUGACAGCCCCGUGAAACCAGUUUGAAGCCAGUGCAGCUUGCAGUCGACGAGUCGAGUUGUUUGGGAAUGCAGCUCUAAGUGGGUGGUAAGCUCCAUCUAAAGCUAAAUACAGGCGAGAGACCGAUAGCGAACAAGUACAGUGAUGGAAAGAUGAAAAGCACUUUGAAAAGAGAGUGAAACAGCACGUGAAAUUGUUGAAAGGGAAGGGCUUGGCCUCAGACGCGGGUGCGCUUCGGUGUGCUCGGGCCAGCAUGGGCUCGUGGGGGGCGACAAGGGCGCGAGAAUGUGGCCCCGCUUCGGCGGGGUGUUAUAGCUCGCGCGGCUAGUCCCACCGCGGGCCGAGGACUGCGCGUAUG